GACGAACGCUGGCGGCGUGCCUAAUACAUGCAAGUCGAACGCAGUGGGGACGGGUGAGUAACACGUGGGUAACCUCCCAUCAGAGGGGAUAACACUUGGAAACAGGUGCUAAACCGAUACUGAUGGAUGGACCCGCGGUGCAUUAGCUAGUUGGUGGGGUAACGGCUCACCAAGGCCACGAUGCAUAGCCGACCUGAGAGCGGGACCGGACACACGGGGACUGAGACACGGCCAGGACUCCAAGGGGGGGCAGCAGUGGGGAAUUUUCGGCAAUGGACGAAAGUCUGACCGAGCAACGCCGCGUGAGUGAAGAAGGUUUUCGGAUGGAAAAACUCUGUUGUUAGAGAAGCGGUAUCUAACCAGAAAGCCACGGCUAACUACGUGCCAGCAGCCGCGGUAUAC
rnacentral:rRNA from 1 species